UUCCUAAUCGGUUGGUAGUUUAUGAACAGGGCCGUCCUUAAGAAUUCGGAGGCUCGGCUCUGGGAAUGAAAAGAGGCCAGUGAUAAA
rnacentral:pre_miRNA from 1 species